UUUGAUCCUGGCUCAGAACGAACGCUGGCGGCAGGCCUAACACAUGCAAGUCGAGCGAGAUCUUCGGAUCUAGCGGCGGACGGGUUAGUAACGCGUGGGAACGUACCCAAAGGUAGGGAAUAGCCACUGGAAACGGUGAGUAAUACCCUAUGUGCCUUCGGGGGAAAGAUUUAUCGCCUUUGGAUCGGCCCGCGUUAGAUUAGAUAGUUGGUGGGGUAACGGCCUACCAAGUCUACGAUCUAUAGCUGGUUUUAGAGGAUGAUCAGCAACACUGGGACUGAGACACGGCCCAGACUCUACGGGAGGCAGCAGUGGGGAAUCUUGGACAAUGGGGGCAACCCUGAUCCAGCCAUGCCGCGUGAGUGAUGAAGGCCCUAGGGUCGUAAAGCUCUUUCGCCUGUGAAGAUAAUGACUGUAGCAGGUAAAGAAACCCCGGCUAACUCCGUGCCAGCAGCCGCGGUAAUACGGAGGGGGUUAGCGUUGUUCGGAAUUACUGGGCGUAAAGCGCGCGUAGGCGGACUGGAAAGUUGGGGGUGAAAUCCCAGGGCUCAACCCUGGAACUGCCUCCAAAACUAUCAGUCUAGAGUUCGAGAGAGGUGAGUGGAAUUCCGAGUGUAGAGGUGAAAUUCGUAGAUAUUCGGAGGAACACCAGUGGCGAAGGCGGCUCACUGCUCGAUACUGAC
rnacentral:rRNA from 1 species